GACGAACGCUGGCGGCGUGCUUAACACAUGCAAGUCGAACGGAAAGGCCCUGCGUUUGCGGGGUGCUCGAGUGGCGAACGGGUGAGUAACACGUGAGUAACCUGUCCCUGACUGUGGGAUAACUUCAGGAAACUGGGGCUAAUACCGGAUAGGAGCUCCUGCUGCAUGGUGGGGGUUGGAAAGUUUCGGCGGUUGGGGCUGGACUGGCGGCUUAUCAGCUUGUUAGUGGGGUAGUGGCUGACCAAGUCUUUGACGGGUAGCCGGCCUGAGAGGGGGGCCGGGCUCCUUGGGCCUGAGAUACGGCCCAGACUCGUACGUGCGGCAGCAGUCGGGAAUAUUACACAAUGAGCGGGCGUCUGAGGCGGAGACGUCGCGUGCGUGAUACCGGCCUUCGGGGUGUAAACCGCUUUGUCCUGAACCGAAGCGGGCGUGACGGUAAUGGAUAAAGAAGCACCGGCUAACUACGUG
rnacentral:rRNA from 1 species